GUAAAAACUGCAAAAGAAUAUAUUUAAUUUUAAGAUUCGUUUAUUGGAUUAAAAUUGAGAUCCAACAUCUCUUUAAAAAUUGUGGUUAUUGACAAUGGAAAUAAAAUAAAGGAUAUAAUGAAUCUUUUCCAAGUGACUUCAGAAGUGUAAUAAAAAAGAAUGAAUAGAAAACAGCUUUUGUUCUAAUCAUUAAAGCAGAGAAUAUACGCAUGCCCGGUCACUCUGCGCUGUCCCUGUACACCGCCGGUAUGACAGAUUUCCUAACCUCGAAACUCAUUUUUCAGUACGUUCUAACUUUGGUCACAGUAUAAGGAUAUACGGUAGGGACAAGCACCCGUUUUCGAGUCAGCCGCGCAGAUUUGCUUGCGCAUCCCAAGCGGCCAUGUUCUCGGGCGGCUUCCAAUCCCGUUCAAAGUAAAGAACGCACGUUAUCUCCGUAACUGUGAUCACAUAUAGAUAGAGAAACAUAACCAAACAUAAAAAUUCGCAUUUGUAUUGUAUUGUUUGUUUUGUGCUUUUGUUAAAAACAAUGUCUAAGAGAAUGCAUCGAGUGCGGUGCAAAAUUGUUUUCACAAUGAUUCACAGUGAUAAUAUAUCAUUUUUUCGCUUUCCAAAAGAGAAAGAAAGCGGUGGUUUCUAAUAUUAUUGAUACGCUACUUGCCGCCCGAAGACAUGGCGGAUCGGCUGAAAAAGAUCAAAGGUGCCGACGCUCUUUGUCCCUACUGUAUAUCAUUAUACUGUGCUUUGGUUCUACUUGAGAGCGACGAUUUUCCUUCUCGCAAUCUUUUUUUAGGACCAAAAUAUACAUUUCUACAAAGUUAGAAGGAAAUCGGUGAGGAGGACCCGUCUCCCUCAGUUUUACCGAAUAUUAUCACAUAACGUCGUAAAUAUAAUAGUUCACUGUUCAAAUUUGCAGUGUCGUGAUUUCGUGUAUUUAUUCCAGUUUACCCGGCGCCACUUGGUUCUUUUUAAAUGCCGCGCACAAUUGUACAGCAAGCACCAUCUAUCCAAGGAAGACUGAAACGCCUGGUAGGUUGCCGGUAAGCGAUAGGAAAUGUCGAUAAGUCGAUUAGUCAAUUUCGUGAUUGAACCGUAUUGUUAUUAAAACAUAACGCGACUUCGAGAAAUACAAAUUUCCAAAAUUUAAGAGUUACAAUACAGAACAAUCAGAAAUAAGAUAAUAAAAUUUAUAUUAUCGCAUUCUUUACCCUCGAAUUAGAUUACGAUCGUGAAUCAUUUUGUUCGAAUCGAACAAAGGCGGCGAGAACACAGAAUCCAAUUUUCGCUCUCUGUGCGAUAAUAAUACAAAAAACAUUUUAAUCAUUUUAAGAACAAGACUAAUAAAUCAGACAAGAAUAUCAGACGAACGGAAUUGUGAAAAAUAUGGUUCUCUUUUAUUCGUCGGAUUGGACCUGCGUAACAAUUCGGUUCAAUAAUGACGAGAAUAUAUCGGCAAUUUGCGUAAGAAGUCCAACGUAAUAACCGACAUCGGCGCACGAAACAAAGAAGUUCACUUUUCCCGGUUCAGCGAGUGUUGUCGGAAAUUAUGCGACGCAAUAUGCAUAACGGAUAACACCGGUAGGUUCGCGCGAUAACCCGACUAUCAAUCGUCGUCCCAGUUUCCGCGUCAGUACGUCGGAAUAAAGCGCACUAGCCACCAGUGUAUCAAACAUAUAAAAAAAACACCGCAUCGCACUUCUAUCGAUAACGUAUCGGACUUAUAAUUAACAACGAACGUCUCGAGCGCGCGAAUGAGUGAUCGAGUUAUUAAGAAUUUCUUUAUUUUCCGUUUCCGUAUAAGAGAUCGGUUUGCCUAGCAAACAACGGCCCAACCCUGGAUUACUACCCGAAGUACACACAGUCAAUUAUAAUUUUCCGCAUAGCUUAAAUUAUAAUCUUACUAAUAAUUAUUAUAAUAAUCUAUCAUACGCUGGUUUUGCACUCGUUCGACACUAAAAGUAAGACUUGUUUCAGUCUUGAGUAAAGUCCUGCAAGAUACCUCGGGUAAUAAUAAAAAAAA
rnacentral:lncRNA from 1 species